GGUUUGUAGAGUAUUAUCUCUCUUGUCCUCUCUCUGUCUCUGUCUCCUCUCUCUCUCUCUCUCUCUCUCUCUCUCUCUCUCUCUCUCUCUCUCUCUCCCCCUCUCUCUCUCUCUUCUCUCUGUCUCUGUCUCUCUGUCUCUGUCUCUGUCUCUGUCUCUCUCUCCUCCUCUCUCUCCUCUCUUCUCUCUGUCUCUGUCUCUCUGUCUCUGUCUCUGUCUCUCUCUCCUCUCUGUCUCUCUGUCUCUGUCUCUCCUCUCUUCUCUCUCUCUCUCUUCUCUCUGUCUCUGUCUCUCUCAUCUCUGUCUCUGUCUCCUCUCUCCUUCUCUCUUCCUCCUCCUCUCUCUCUCUCUCUCUCUCUCUCCCCCCCCUUCCUCCCCCCUCUCUCCUCUCCUCUCUCUCCUCUCUUCUCUCUCUCUCUCUCUCUCUCUCUCUCUCUCUCUCUCUCUCUCUCUCUCUCUCUCUCUCUCCCCCUCUCUCUCCUCUCUUCUCUCUGUCUCUGUCUCUCUGUCUCUGUCUCUGUCUCUGUCUCUCUCUCUCCUCUCUGUCUCUCUGUCUCUGUCUCUCCUCUCUUCUCUCUCUCUCUCUUCUCUCUGUCUCUGUCUCUCUCAUCUCUGUCUCUGUCUCCUCUCUCCUCUCCUCUUCUCUCUCUCUCUCUUUCUCUCUCUCUCCUCUCUCUCUCUCUCUCUCUCUCUCUCUCUCUCUCUCUCUCUCUCUCUUCUCUCUCUCUCUCUCUCUCUCUCUCUCUCUCUCUCUCUCUCUCUCUCUCUCUCUCUCUCUCUCUCUCUCUCUCUCUCUCUCUCUCUCUCUCCCCCUCCCUUUCUCUCCUCUCUUCUCUCUCUCUCUUCUCUCUGUCUCUGUCUCUCUGUCUCUGUCUCUGUCUCUCUCCUCUCUCCUCUUCUCUCUCUUUCUUUCUCUCUCGUUUCGUUUGAUCCUCACAAUGACGCUGGGGGCCAGGUGGCUGUAGUCAAACUAUGUUCACUUGGAACCUUUACUUCCUCUCCUACCACUCUUCUCAAUCCUUUGUAAUCUGGCUUGGGACCCCGUUACUCAUCUGAAAACUUC
rnacentral:lncRNA from 1 species